GACAGAGGUGCCGAGCGUUAGGCGGAAUCACUGGGCUUAAAGCGUGUGUAGGCGGGCGGGCAAGUACCUUGUGAAAUCCCACGGCUCAACCGUGGAACGGCUGGGUAUACUGCCUGUCUUGAGCCAACUAGGGGCGAGCGGAACAGACGGUGGAGCGGUGAAAUGCGUAGAUAUCAGGAGGAACACCGGUGGUGUAGACGGCUUACUGGACCAUAACUGACGCUGAGACACGAAAGCGUGGGUAGCAAACAGG
rnacentral:rRNA from 1 species